CGCAUGAUGCAGGGGUAAAAACUCCGGUGGUACAGGAUGGACCCGCGUCUGAUUAGCUGGUUGGUGAGGUAACGGCUCACCAAGGCGACGAUCAGUAGCCGGCUUGAGAGAGUGAACGGCCACAUUGGGACUGAGACACGGCCCAAACUCCUACGGGAGGCAGCAGUGGGGAAUAUUGCACAAUGGGGGGAACCCUGAUGCAGCGACGCCGCGUGAGUGAAGAAGUAUUUCGGUAUGUAAAGCUCUAUCAGCAGGGAAGAAAAUGACGGUACCUGACUAAGAAGCCCCGGCUAACUACGUGCCAGCAGCCGCGGUAAUACGUAGGGGGCAAGCGUUAUCCGGAAUUACUGGGUGUAAAGGGUGCGUAGGUGGUAUGGCAAGUCUGAUGUGAAAGGCCGGGGCUCAACCCCGGGACUGCAUUGGAAACUGUCAAUCUAGAGUACCGGAGGGGUAAGUGGAAUUCCUAGUGUAGCGGUGAAAUGCGUAGAUAUUAGGAGGAACACCAGUGGCGAAGGCGGCUUACUGGACGGUAACUGACGUUGAGGCUCGAAAGCGUGGGGAGCAAACAGGGUUUAGAUACCCCUGGUAGUCCACGCCGUAAACCGAUGAAUACUAGGUGUUGGGGAGCAAAGCUCUUCGGUGCCGCAGCAAACGCAAUAAGUAUUCCACCUGGGGAGUACGUUCGCAAGAAUGAAACUCAAAGGAAUUAACGGGGACCCGCACAAGCGGUGGAGCAUGUGGUUUAAUUCGAAGCAACGCGAAGAACCUUACCAAAUCUUGACAUCGAUCUGACCGGACUGUAAUGAGUCCUUUCCCUUCGGGGACAGAGAAGACAGGUGGUGCAUGGUUGUCGUCAGCUCGUGUCGUGAGAUGUUGGGUUAAGUCCCGCAACGAGCGCAACCCUUAUCCUCAGUAGCCAGCAAGUGAAGUUGGGCACUCUGUGGAGACUGCCAGGGAUAACCUGGAGGAAGGUGGGGAUGACGUCAAAUCAUCAUGCCCCUUAUGAUUUGGGCUACACACGUGCUACAAUGGCGUAAACAAAGGGAAGCGAUCACGCGAGUGUGAGCAAAUCUCAAAAAUAACGUCUCAGUUCGGAUUGUAGUCUGCAACUCGACUACAUGAAGCUGGAAUCGCUAGUAAUCGCAGGUCAGCAUACUGCGGUGAAUACGUUCCCGGGUCUUGCACACACCGCCCGUCA
rnacentral:rRNA from 1 species